rnacentral:rRNA from 1 species
UACAGAGGGGGCAAGCGUUGUUCGGAAUUACUGGGCGUAAAGGGCGCGUAGGCGGCCUUCUAAGUCGAACGUGAAAUCCCCGGGCUCAACCCGGGAACUGCGUCCGAUACUGGAAGGCUUGAAUCCGGGAGAGGGAUGCGGAAUUCCAGGUGUAGCGGUGAAAUGCGUAGAUAUCUGGAGGAACACCGGUGGCGAAGGCGGCAUCCUGGACCAACACUGACACUGAUGAGCGAAAGCCAGGGGAGCAAACGGG